GUUGAAUUAAAUUAAAACCAGGCCGAACCAGAACCUCAUGUUCCAACACAAAACCGGGCCAAACCGAAUUAGCAGCCAGGUGUAAUUACAGGCAUGUCCUAAACAGCAUACAAAUAGACAAGAGAUAAGACUACUGACUCUUAACUAUUUUAAGACCGAAAUUUGUGUUUGUAUUGUUAAUGAGAGAGAACAUGAAACUUUCAACACUAUAGUACAUAUUUAAUAUCAUUUGGUGACAGUUCAAGAAGUUAACUUACAGAACUAAUUGCCCUAUAUUUGUAGGCAUGUAAACCAAUGAAAUUAAAUAACUGAUAAAAGAUGACAAAGUUGAUUUGCAGGACAUCUAGAUCUCUAUGCUGUAGUCAUGAAGUUUUCCCUCAACACGAGCUAUGAGUUUGCCAAUCAGCUCCAGGAACGGCCACCACCAUAACCCCUCCCACGAUCUCGGAAACCCCCAUGACCUGACGGUGGAGGAGGGGCACCACGACCCAUUGCAGCCAAUUCUGGACUGACCCUCUGCCUAGCUUCCUCAAGUAUAGUGAUAAGUUCCUUUGCAAAUCUGGCAUUCCCAGCUGUGAAGAAAGUGUAGGCUGUUCCUUUUGCUCCAGCUCUUCCAGUCCGACCAAUUCGGUGAACAUAAUCCUCAAGGGAUCCAGGAAAAUCAUAAUUGAUCACAUAUUUUACAUCCUUCACAUCUAAUCCACGCGCAGCAACAUCUGUUGCAGUCAUUAUGGGACUUUUGCCAGCUUUAAAUUCUGAGAGGACCCAAUCCCUUUCUGCUUGACUUUUGUCUCCAUGAAUUGAGAGAGCAGGCCAACCAUCCAUGCGAAGCUGCCGAGUGAUCUGGUCACAACCCUUCUUAGUAUCCAUAAAAAUAAGAAUACGGCUGCCAUCCAUGAUAUCCUCCAGCAACUUCACCAGCUUGUUAUAUUUCUGAUUUUCAGAAACAAUGUCAACGUGUUGGCGUAUUGCAUGAUUAGCUUUUAAAUCUGCAGAUCCUAUUAUCACUUUAUAUGGGUUGUAAAGAAAUUGCCUUGCCAGUUGUUCGACCUCUUUAGGCCAAGUGGCACUCCAGUACAAAGUUUGACGAUCUGCGCGAAUCUGAGAAACAAUUUUGCGUAUCUGAGGCUCAAAUCCCAUGUCUAGCAUCCGAUCUGCCUCAUCCAACACUAAGUAAGUAACCCUCCGCAAAUUUGUAUGAUGUGAUUCCAACAUAUCAAUCAACCUUCCUGGUGUAGCAAUAACAAUUUCAACUCCUUUCUGGAGAUCGCGCACCUGAGGUCCCUUUGGAACACCACCAUAUAUGCAUGUAUUUUUUAUUCUUGAUGAUGCACCAAAUUUUGCAGCUUCUUGUUGUAUCUGAACAGCAAGUUCCCGCGUAGGAGCUAAAACUAAAACAAUUGGACCAUCCCCAGGCGCUAAAAUUGGCUGGGCAUUAACAUGGACAAUUGCAGGCAAUAAGUAGGCAAGGGUCUUCCCUGAUCCUGUUUCAGCGAUACCAAUGAGGUCACGACCCUUCAAAGCCAUUGGCCACCCUUGAGCUUGUAUAGGAGUAGGUUCGACGAAGCCAGCUUUUGUUAUUUCUUGCAAAACAUAAUCCGGAAACCCUGUGUCGCGAAAACUCUUGACAGGUUUUGGAACAUCACGGCCCUCUACAGUAAUUUCUCUCCGUUGCCUGUAUUCCUCAACCUCCCUCUCUGACAUUGCGGCCACUGAUGGUGACUCAAUGUAGAAAUUCUUCUCAAAUGGAGUCAACCCAUCCAAAUCAGAUUUCCUCGGUGAGUCAGCGCGGCUAUAGUCCCUCCUCUCGGCUGAGGACCGCGCUGAGCCAGUAUAGCCCGAAGCCCCACCAAAACCUGAGUCACUUCUCCGGUCACGAUAAGAAGUGGGGUCGCCGGAACGGCUAUCGUAUCGGCUCAUCGUUUCGAUUUGGCGCUACUCACUGCGGAUUCUGACAGUCACAGACAAAUUAGUGGUGAUAAAAGAAUGGGUUCUCUUCCUUUCUUGGGCUUUUAGGGUUUUACCUUUUAACACAGAGACGACCCCCACCUAUUGCUCUCGCUCUCCCCCUUUU
rnacentral:misc_RNA from 1 species